UACGUAGGGCGCAAGCGUUAUCCGGAAUUAUUGGGCGUAAAGCGCACGUAGGCGGUCCUCUAAGUCGGGUGUGAAAGCCCGGGGCUUAACCCCGGAAUUGCACCUCAAACUACAUGGCUAGAGCAUUGGAGAGGGUAGCAGAAUUCAUGGUGUAGCAGUGAAAUGCGUAGAUAUCAUGAGGAAUACCAGAGGCGAAGGCGGCUUACUGGUCCGGUUCUGACGCUGAGGCGCGAAAGCGUGGGGAGCAAACAGG
rnacentral:rRNA from 1 species